rnacentral:rRNA from 1 species
UACGAAGGGGGCUAGCGUUGUUCGGAAUCACUGGGCGUAAAGGGCGCGUAGGCGGCCGAUCAAGUCGGGGGUGAAAGCCUGUGGCUCAACCACAGAAUUGCCUUCGAUACUGUUUGGCUUGAGACCGGAAGAGGUAAGUGGAACUGCGAGUGUAGAGGUGAAAUUCGUAGAUAUUAGGAAGAACACCGGUGGCGAAGGCGGCCCACUGGUCCGGUACUGACGCUGAGGUGCGAAAGCGUG